rnacentral:rRNA from 1 species
GGAUUAGACCCGAAGCCGGGUGAGCUACCCAUGGCCAGGGUGAAGCUUCGAUAAACUCGGAGUGGAGGCCCGAACCGGUCAACGUUGCAAAGUUGUCGGAUGAGCUGUGGGUAGAGGUGAAAUGCCAAUCGAACUCGGUGAUAGCUGGUUCUCCCCGAAAUGCAUUGAGGUGCAGCCUCAGAUGUUAGCUAAUGGAGGUAGAGCUCUGGAUGGACUAGGUGAGAGAGUAUCUCGCUAACUCCAACCAAACUACAAAUGCCAUUAGCCAAAGUCUGGGAGUGAGACUAUGGGGGAUAAGCUCCGUAGUCGAGAGGGAAACAGCCCAGACCAUCAGCUAAGGUCCCUAAAAGCAGACUAAGUGGCAAAGGAAGUAGGACUGCCCAGACAGCCAGUAGGUUGGCUUAGAAGCAGCCAUCCUUGAAAGAGUGCGUAACAGCUCACUGGUUGAGUGGUGCUGCGCCGAUAAUCCAACGGGGCUUAAGUCUGUUACCGAAGCUAUGGCUUCCUGAUUUAUCAGGGAGGGUAGGGGAGCGUUCCCUUAGCAGUGAAGCUACUAUGUGAAUAGUGGUGGAGUUAAGGGAAGUGAGAAUGUCGGCAUGAGUAGCGUAAGGUGUGCGAGAAACACACCCGCCGAAAACCUAAGGUUUCCUACGGAAGGUUAAUCCGCGUAGGGUUAGUCGGGCCUAAGCCGAGGCCGAAAGGCGUAGGCGAUGGACAACAGGUUAUUAUUCCUGUACCGCUGUUAUGGAGGCAAAGGGGGGACACGGAAG